CCAAUAGCGUAUAUUAAAGUUGUUGCAGUUAAAAAGCUCGUAGUUGAAUUUCGGGACUAGUACGCUGGUCAUGCCUUUGGUAUGUACUGGUGUUACUGGUUCCUACCUUCUGACGAACCGUCAUGUCAUUCAUUUGGUGUGGCGGGGAAUCAGGACUGUUACUUUGAAAAAAUUAGAGUGUUUAAGGCAGGCUCGCGCUUGAAUACAUUAGCAUGGAAUAAUGAAAUAGGACGUUUGAUCCUAUUUUGUUGGUUUCUAGGAUUGACGUAAUGAUUAAUAGGGAUAGUUGGGGGCAUUAGUAUUCAAUUGUCAGAGGUGAAAUUCUUGGAUUUAUUGAAGACUAACUACUGCGAAAGCAUUUGCCAAGGAUGUUUUCAUUAAUCAAGAACGAAAGUUAGGGGAUCGAAGACGAUCAGAUACCGUCGUAGUCUUAACCAUAAACUAUGCCGACUAGGGAUCGGAUGAUGUUAUUUUUAAUGACUCAUUCGGCGCCUUACG
rnacentral:rRNA from 1 species